rnacentral:rRNA from 1 species
UACGGGGGGGGCAAGCGUUGUUCGGAAUUACUGGGCGUAAAGGGCGCGUAGGCGGUCAGGUCAGUCCCGUGUGAAAUCCCUCGGCUCAACUGAGGAACUGCACGGGAAACUACCUGGCUUGAGUUCGGGAGAGGGAAGCGGAAUUCCGGGUGUAGCGGUGAAAUGCGUAGAUAUCCGGAGGAACACCGGUGGCGAAGGCGGCUUCCUGGACCGACACUGACGCUGAGGCGCGAAAGCUAGGGGAGCAAACGGG